GGGGAAUCUUCCGCAAUGGGCGCAAGCCUGACGGAGCAACGCCGCGUGAGUGAAGAACGUUUUCGGAUCGUAAAGCUCUGUUGAGAGGGACGAGAGGCAAGGCUAGGAAAUGAGCUUUGUAGGACGGUACCUUUCGAGGAAGCCACGGCUAACUACGUGCCAGCAGCCGCGGUAAUACGUAGGUGGCGAGCGUUGUCCGGAAUUAUUGGGCGUAAAGGGAGCGCAGGUGGGAAAGUAAGUCAGUCUUAAAAGUGCGGGGCUCAACCCCGUGAGGGGAUGGAAACUACUCUUCUUGAGUGCAGGAGAGGACAGCGGAAUUCCUAGUGUAGCGGUGAAAUGCGUAGAUAUUAGGAGGAACACCAGUGGCGAAGGCGGCUUUCUGGACUGUAACUGACACUGAGGCUCGAAAGCCAGGGGAGCGAACG
rnacentral:rRNA from 1 species